rnacentral:lncRNA from 1 species
UCCACUACCAUAGACGUCCCUCCUCCAGCUCCCACAGAGUAGGAGUGUAUCUGGACUGGUCAGCCGGCACUCUGUCCUUCUAUAGAGCCUCCUCUGACACACUGACCCACCUGAUCACAUUCACCUCCACAUUCACUGAGCCCCUCUAUCCAGGGUUUGGGGUUGAUUAUGAAUCCUCAGUGUCCCUGAAAUAAUAACUGGACACACACACACACACACACACACACACACACACACACACACACACACACACACACACACACACACACACACACACACACACACACACUGGACACAGACACACACACACACACAAACUGGACACACGCACACACUGGACACAGACACACACACACACUGGACACAGACACACACACACACUGGACACACACACACACACACACAGGACACACACACACACACCAACACACUGGACACACACACACACACUGGACACACACACACACUGAACAUACACACAGGACACACACACACACACUGGAUAUACACACACUCAACACACACACACACACACUGGAAACAAAUUGGACACACACACACUGGACACAAAAUGCACACACACUCACAGACAUUCUGGACACACACACACACACACUGGACACAAACUGGACACACACAUAAACAUACACUCAACACACACACACACUGAACACACACACAAACACUGGGCACAUACUCACACACACACACACACACACACACUCUGGACAUACACACACACACUUGACACAGACACUGGACACACACACACAUUUUGGACACACACACUCACACACACACACACAGGACACACACACACACUGGACACACACACUGGACACACACACAUACACACACACACACACUGAACACACACACACUGAACACACACACACACUGAACACACACACACACACUGAACACACACACACACUGGGCACAUACUCACACACACUGGACACACACACACUCUGGACACACACACACACACUUGACACAGACACUGGACACACACACGCACUGGACAGGUCCCCCUCUCCAUGUAAUCUGAUUCAUUAUGAUAUAGGAUCAGGUCCCCCCUCUCCAUGUAAUCUGAUUCAUUAUGAUCUAGGAUCAGGUCCCCCCUCUCCAUGUAAUCUGAUUCAUUAUGAUCUAGGAUCAGGUCCCCCCUCUCCAUGUAAUCUGAUUCAUUAUGAUCUAGGAUCAGGUCCCCCCUCUCCAUGUAAUCUGAUUCAUUAUGAUCUAGGAUCAGGUCCCCCCUCUCCAUUUAAUCUGAUUCAUUAUGAUCUAGGAUCAGGUCCCCCCUCUCCAUUUAAUCUGAUUCAUUAUGAUCUAGGAUCAGGUCCCUCCUCUCCAUGUAAUCUGAUUCAUUAUGGUCUAGGAUCAGGUCCCCCCUCUCCAUGUAAUCUGAUACACGUACAUACAUACAUACACACUGUAUAUAUACACGUACAUACAUACAUACACACUGUAUAUAUACACGUACAUACAUACAUACACACUGUAUAUAUAUACACGUACAUACACACUGUAUAUAUAUACACGUACAUACAUACAUACACACUGUAUAUAUAUACACGUACAUACAUACAUACACACUGUAUAUAUAUACACGUACAUACAUACAUACACACUGUAUAUAUAUACACAUACAUACAUACACACUGUAUAUAUAUACACAUACAUACAUACACACUGUAUAUAUAUACACAUACAUACAUACAUACACACUGUAUAUAUAUAUACACGUACAUACAUACAUACACACUGUAUAUAUAUACAUACACGUACAUACAUACAUACACACUGUAUAUAUAUACAUACACGUACAUACAUACAUACACGUACAUACAUACAUACACACUGUAUAUAUAUACAUACACGUACAUACAUACAUACACACUGUAUAUAUAUACAUACACGUACAUACAUACAUACAUACACACUGUAUAUAUAUACAUACGUGUACAUACAUACAUACAUACACACUGUAUAUAUAUACAUACAUACAUACACACUGUAUAUAUAUACAGAAAUCCACUGUUUAUUUGAGGUAAAAAGGGAUGACCAGAGAGUACCCAUGAAGUUGUACAACAUUUGACAAGACAGUCAAGACCUAAGCAGUGUGCCAGAUGACCUUUGGCCUCCAAUAUAGGCCCCUUUCUGUGUUUGCUAAAAUUGCAGCGAUGCACACGCAAUUUGGUUGUAGAAACUCCUCCAUUCUAAUGAGGAAACCACUAGUUAUGGAUGUAGUAUAUCUGCUAAUGAGGAAACCACUAGUUAUGGAUGUAGUAUAUCUGCUAAUGAGGAAACCACUAGUUAUGGAUGUAGUAUAUCUGCUAAUGAGGAAACCACUAGUUAUGGAUGUAGUAUAUUUGGUAAUGAGGAAACCACUAGUUAUGGAUGUAGUAUAUCUGGUAAUGAAGAAACCACUAGUUAUGGAUGUAGUAUAUCUGGUAAUGAGAAAACCACUAGUUAUGGAUGUAGUAUAUCUGGUCAUGAGGAAACCACUAGUUAUGGAUGUAGUAUAUCUGGUAAUGAGGAAACCACUAGUUAUGGAUGUAGGAUAUCUGGUAAUGAGGAAACCACUAGUUAUGGAUGUAGGAUAUCUGGUAAUGAGGAAACCACUAGUUAUGGAUGUAGUAUAUCUGCCUGGAGCAAAAAUGGUGAGCGAAGAUGAUCGUUUUUCACAAUGUAUUCUGAAUAUUACAGCGCACUAUCAGGACAAGAUCAGGAGUGCUACUCAAGUAAACUCACAUUAAGUUCUGUCUAUUCACUAAUUCAGCACUGUGGGGGAAAACUCAGGAGAGUUCUCAUAGGCUGACAGCAAAAAUAGCCUCCAUUUACAGGUUGCAUAUGAGUGCAUUUAACAUUACUUUUGGAUUAUAAUUGUAAAGCUCGUUUGAACCUCCUGCUUAAUAUGUUUGCGUUAUUGUCGCAAAUCAACUGCUUUACACUUAAAAAACACUUCAACCAGUAAAAUGCUCUUUGGCUAGCUUUAACAUCAGCCUGACAAUGAGGGUUUGUACACUAAGUGUUUAACAAAUUGGCCCAUAACUUCACCUAACAAUAACAUAGACCUACUGUAGGACCCAUAACUUUAUCUAACAACGACAUAGACGUAGGACUAUAAAUCAUUUAAUAUUUCAGGUGAAACAUGGACACUAAAAUGUCUGUCGUGACGUUUCAUAACCUGAUCACCAGAUAAUUUUGUGAAUAAUCCCACUAGGCUACUCUGUAAUGUGUUGUCAUUCUAAAUGUCCUGAAUAAAGGAAAAUAGCUCUGUGUGUUGAACAAUAGCCUAUCCAUCAAGGAACAGUUCUCUACACAUUAUGAGCAAAGUAGGGAUGUUGGAUCCAACGUGGAGUGUAUCUCUGUGCACAAACAGAGUAAUGAGACCCUACUGUAAAUCAGCCAGACAGUAACACAUUAUAAACAUCGAUUUGUUUGGGAUGUUGGAUCCAACGUGGAGCACGGCAUAACUGUCUUUACCAGAGUAAUGAAUGAAGAAGCACUUUGGUUGUUGUUGCAUGUCGUGAUGUUUGUCAUGUGACUGUCAUUCAGAAAAUGAUUUCGUGGAUCAGCUGAUGAUAGUUGAACAUGUGACUGUAAAUAAACAGCUACAGUAUUAAGAAUUAUGUGUAAUUAUUGAAGAACCACGUUAAUGACAGUAUCCAUUUGGGUGUUGUCA